UACGGAGGGUGCAAGCGUUAUCCGGAAUCACUGGGUUUAAAGGGUGCGUAGGCGGUCUGGUAAGUCAGUCGUGAAAUCGCCGGGCUUAACCCGUGCAACUGCGAUUGAUACUGCCGGACUUGAAUGAGGUUGAGGUAGGCGGAAUGUGGCAUGUAGCGGUGAAAUGCUUAGAUAUGCCAUAGAACACCGAUUGCGAAGGCAGCUUGCUGGGCCUUCAUUGACGCUGAGGAACGAAAGCGUGGGGAGCAAACAGG
rnacentral:rRNA from 1 species